rnacentral:rRNA from 1 species
GGGUAUCUAGACUGCAUCUCCCAACCCCUGUGCACAUACCUUAAUGUUGCCUCGGCGGAUCAGCCCGCGCCCGGUAAAACGGGACGGCCCGCCAGAGGAUCCAAACUCUUGCUGUUAUUGUAACUUCUGAGUAAAACAAACAAAUAAAUCAAAACUUUCAACAACGGAUCUCUUGGUUCUGGCAUCGAUGAAGAACGCAGCAAAAUGCGAUAAGUAAUGUGAAUUGCAGAAUUCAGUGAAUCAUCGAAUCUUUGAACGCACAUUGCGCCCGCCAGUAUUCUGGCGGGCAUGCCUGUUCGAGCGUCAUUUCAACCCUCAAGCCCCCGGGUUUGGUGUUGGGGAUCGGCAAGCCUUCUGGCGAGCCGCCCCCUAAAUCUAGUGGCGGUCUCACUGCAGCCUCCAUUGCGUAGUAGCUAACACCUCGCAACUGGAACGCGGUGCGGCCAUGCCGUUAAACCCCCAACUUCUGAAUGUUGACCUCGGAUCAGGUAGGAAUACCCGCUGAACUUAAGCAUAUCAAACCCGGAACGAAAUAUACGUUCUUGAACUCUUCUGAAUCUUCCUUAAUCGUGAUUGCGAUAAAUUCAUUCUGAACUUCCGUAUUCCUCCUGUGCCCGGCUUUCCUUCUUGUUCCUUUGCGACAGACACUAAUGCGAAUCACACUGCAAAUUG